GGGGAAUAUUGGACAAUGGGCGCAAGCCUGAUCCAGCCAUGCCGCGUGGGUGAAGAAGGCCUUCGGGUUGUAAAGCCCUUUUGUUGGGAAAGAAAACUUUCCGGUCAAUACCCGGAGAGAAUGACGGUACCCAAAGAAUAAGCACCGGCUAACUUCGUGCCAGCAGCCGCGGUAAUACGAAGGGUGCAAGCGUUACUCGGAAUUACUGGGCGUAAAGCGUGCGCAGGUGGUUUGUUAAGUCUGAUGUGAAAGCCCUGGGCUCAACCUGGGAAUUGCAUUGGAAACUGGCAGGCUAGAGUACGGUAGAGGGUAGUGGAAUUCCUGGUGUAGCAGUGAAAUGCGUAGAGAUCAGGAGGAACAUCCGUGGCGAAGGCGACUACCUGGACCAGUACUGACACUGAGGCACGAAAGCAUGGGGAGCAAAC
rnacentral:rRNA from 1 species